rnacentral:rRNA from 1 species
GACGAACGCUGGCGGCGUGCUUAACACAUGCAAGUCGAACGGAAAGGCCCUGCUUUUGUGGGGUGCUCGAGUGGCGAACGGGUGAGUAACACGUGAGUAACCUGCCCUUGACUUUGGGAUAACUUCAGGAAACUGGGGCUAAUACCGGAUAGGAGCUCCUGCUGCAUGGUGGGGGUUGGAAAGUUUCGGCGGUUGGGGAUGGACUCGCGGCUUAUCAGCUUGUUGGUGGGGUAGUGGCUUACCAAGGCUUUGACGGGUAGCCGGCCUGAGAGGGUGACCGGCCACAUGGGGACUGAGAUACGGCCCAGACCACUACGGGAGGCAGCAGUGGGGAAUAUCGCACAAUGGGCGGAAGCCUGAUGCAGCAACGCCGCGUGCGGGAUGACGGCCUUCGGGUUGUAAACCGCUUUCGCCUGUGACGAAGCGUGAGUGACGGUAAUGGGUAAAGAAGCACAGGCUAACUACGU